rnacentral:rRNA from 1 species
GACGAACGCUGGCGGCGUGCUUAACACAUGCAAGUCGAACGGAAAGGCCCUGCUUUUGUGGGGUGCUCGAGUGGCGAACGGGUGAGUAACACGUGAGUAACCUGCCCUUGACUUUGGGAUAACUUCAGGAAACUGGGGCUAAUACCGGAUAGGAGCUCCUGCUGCAUGGUGGGGGUUGGAAAGUUUCGGCGGUUGGGGAUGGACUCGCGGCUUAUCAGCUUGUUGGUGGGGUAGUGGCUUACCAAGGCUUUGACGGGUAGCCGGCCUGAGAGGGUGACCGGCAACAUUGGGACUGAGAUACGGCCAAGACUCCUACGGGAGGAAGAAGUGGGGAAUAUUGAAAAAUGGGCGGAAGCCUGAUGCAGCAACGCGGCGUGCGGGAUGACGGCCUUCGGGUUGUAAACCGCUUUCGCAUGUGACGAAGCGUGAGUGACGGUAAUGGGUAAAGAAGCACCGGCUAACUACGUG